GAGGCAGUCAGGGAUGAUGGUGAGAGUAAGCGAUGUGAAAGACAGUAUUGAUGGUUGUGGCAUCAGAAGUCUGAAUGGUGUGUGUAUGGCAAUGAUGGUAGUACUAAGAAAAUGAAUCCAGUGUUCAGUCCCUCUUUCUUUCACAUACCCACUCUUUCUCUUUCUCUCUUAUUAUUACUCCCACUGCCACCAUCAACACUACUACUUUUAAUAAAACA